GCCUUCAAUGCUGUUGAAUGCUACUUCCUCUGCAGGCCAGGGAGACAUUGACCAAUGUCCUCUCCCGAACUCCUCACAUCAGAUAGCUGUCAGCAGUAUCUCCAUUUCCCAAGUUGUUUGACAACUCUAUGGGCUUAAAAGAAAGUCAGACUCACAUGGUGAAGAAGCAAUAUUAUGAAUUAAUUGAUGGUUUGUGACUUAAGGUUUGUGAGAUGAAAAUCAAGGUGAAAUACAGGCAGGAUCUAAGCUGUGCUAAAGAUGCUGAGGUAUUGAGCUUGUCAGAGGGAGUCAGCAUAGUUCGCAUAAACAAUAGGGAGUGCCAGCAUGCUGAGAGAACCUGAGGCAUGGAAAAAAUGAUUAACAUCAUGUUGUAGAGGCAGACUGUGUUAAGAAGAUACAAUUGUAUUUUUUAAUGCUUGCAUGGAAUAAUUAAUGGAAAAACUGAGGCAGAGAAGCGGGUGGCUUGACUAGGAUGUCACCACAAAUAAUUUCAGAAUCAAGACCACUUCUACAAAGUGAAGCUUAAGGAAGUAGAGGUCUUUUUUAAUCUGCACAUAUUUGAAUUUAGGAAAAUUGUUCAAAAUUACACCUGGAGUGCAAGAGUUAAAUCUAAUGCUGGGAAUGUCUGCUCACGAAUAUUUGUCAUCACUCAGAAUAACACUAGUUUGAGUAGUUGGCUGCUUUCUGUUGCUUUGUUUGGCUGUAAAGCAGAAGGAUUGGAACAGUGAAAUAGAUAUUUUAACACAUACACAGGCAAAAUUCCAUUUGUUUUUUCAUCCAAAACAAGUGGCCUUUUAGCUGUUGUGAUAAGUCAAAAAUCUAGAUAUUUUCCUCAAUUUUAACAGGAACUAGAGGCCUCCACAGAAAACUGCUUUGUGGUCUUUCCGUAUGGCAUCACAGAAAAAGGAAUAAUUAUUCAGUUUGAAACUCCUGAGUGAUUUGUCAGAAUUAGUCUGAUAAACAUCACUGAACAUCUCUCACUGGUUGGUUGAAGAACUGAGCAAUGCUAAGUCUUUGAGUCCUCCUGAGGGAAGUAGUAGUUAAAGAAGAUGUGGAAGAUAAGUAAAAGAGGAAAUUUUAUAUAGCUGUAAUCCUUUUGCUUUCUUUUCUGCAGAAGAUUUGCCUAAGGAAUAAUUGUAAGAAAAAAUAGAUUACUGCAAGGUUUAUUGGCUGUACGUAUGAUUUAUUUUUUUUAACAGAUUUGCUUGAAAUACUGAACGAGGAGAUGAGAAAUGCUUUCAUGUUUUUCUGUUACUUAGAGCUUUGAUGUUUCUGUGUUGGGUGCUACCAGAAAGGAAAUAACCAGCUAUAUAAUAGUUUCAGUGGGCAGAAGCUCCAAAACUUGCAUGGAAAUUUUCUUAUGACAUCAAGAACAGUGUCUCUGAUGCUACAGUCAACACACCUUGGUUCUUGGAGAAUUUCUCAUCAAAACAGAUAUGUUUCUGAAAGCAAGAAAUUCAAGUCUGACAGACUUUAGUGAAAAUUGAUUUUGUUUAAAAAUUCUUGCCCUGUCUACAGCUUGCAGAGACAUGCUUUACCAUUUGUUUAAUUAUCUUUGGGGUUAAUUUUUGUCUAGGAUCUUGCAGAACAAAAGCUGUAUUAUGUUAAGAACACCUCAUCCAGAGAUAAUAAGCCAAACAUGUUUAUUCUAUUAGAUGUCCUAUAGUCUCCUAACAUUGACAAAAUGAGGCUGAAUGUUUGCACAUGAUCUAAACUAGAAUAUGUGAAAUCAAGUUCUUGUCUGGGCACAAAUGAUUUAGGACCAGGAGAAGUCUGAUUUGAGUGGAAGGAGUUACUAUAGUCAUAACCAACAGAACUCUAAACUGCACUAGACUGAAAGUGAUAAUUUCCAAAGACCACUCACAGUAAAAAUUUACUGGUUUAUGCUGGAGGAAACUGAGGUAAAAGGAGGUCAGAUCAGCACAGCAACACGCUGCCACAUGUGCUGUUCCUGAGUGAAGGGCAGUCAGUUAAACAUGGUGAGCCUACCACUGGUGGAAAAGUAAAGCUCUGAGAGUGGAUCCCUUGACACCGUGGCAGCAUUUCUGACCUUAAUCAGUCCUGAGAGGGAUCUGAUGAGUUGAAAGGCAGGGCAUCUGUUACAUUAUAGCCAAAUUAUCUUUUAAAAAUUGAGAGAGGGAAAAAUAGAAAUCCACAUGGUACAAAACUUUUGGUUCUGUUAUUAUACUUUGCAAUUGUUCUGAUUUUAAGGAAAAGUAAACCCAAAUAAUUAGGCAAUCCAUUAUUAGGAGGUUGAUGAUCAAAUGAAUGCACUGAGUUGGCAGUUGUUGCCCACAUGUAAGUGUCUAUUGAUGAUAUUAAAUGCUCUAGGGUAGAUUAGACAUCUGCAAGGGACUGUGCCAUUUUGAAAGAGAAGCUGCAGGCCAGAUCAAUCCAGGCAACCUAGCAUUAUCUGACAUCUGGCAUUAGGUGCGUAUAAGAUAGGAUUUAGUUCAGAUGUCUAAAUAUAGAUAUCUAUGCUUAAGACAAGGUGCCCAGACUCUGACAUAAGUCAAUAGAAAGCUACUCUAUAGGGUAAUGAAAUGUAGAGGAUGAUAAACUUUAUGCCAAAUAGGCAGCUGUUGGCUGGUCAAAUGAAAGUCCGUAGGUUUAACCGACUAUGUGCUAAGUCUCCAUUGAUUCCAAUGGACAUUUGGGCGUACAGGAGCUACAUGUACGUUUAGGUAUCUUAACUUUGACUCGAAUUCUACCCAGCUAAGUCUGAACUGGUGCAAAGACCUGACUGCAACAGUGUCAUUGGAAGUCUGCUCUCUCUGGAGGCUCCUGAGUUGUGUAACAACUCUGUGUCUAUGUAACCAGAUAGAUGCAUUCAAUGAUCUAGGCUCUGGUUUUGGUCCCUCCAUCCUUCAGACUAAUAGAAAUCAGCAAGUUUUCCUCCCUCCUGAUGGCCAGUAUUUCUUACAAUAAUAUAUACUGCAUGACAGGAUGCAGUGCCUUUAGAGUCCCUUAUCAUACAUCCAUGACUGGAUAUGCUAUAGAGUGUGUUGCUGUUUGUUUACUAGUCACGAGGGUAGAGAAAAAUGAACAAAGUAAACUGUUUACUGUGUUUUGUCAAGUUGCAUACAGAGGAAAUAAUGGAAAUGCAGAUCAUGAACAAUGAAAUUGUGAUGGAAUCUUCUCAUUCAAGAAAUAGCUUUGCUUUUCUCAUAACAUGUCUAGGAUAUGUUAUAAAUAGGACACAGAAACUUAUAAAGAAGUUUACCUUGAAAUUAAGAUCAGGUACGAAAAUUCUAUGUCUGAAAGAAUGCGCAGAAGAAAAUUGACCUUCUGGCUAUUUUCAGAGAAUCCUAUCUAUUUAUGUCCCAUCACCAUUACGUUUUUUCAGGGCAGAACAGAUUGUUUCUCCUGUUUAUAGAAUACUAUAAAAUUUCUUUGUCUU
ensembl:lncRNA